GGCCACCGAGGCCUCGGAGGCCUCCGAGGCCUCCGAGGCCUCCGAGGUCCCUGCGAUCCCGGCCCAGGGCGGACG
rnacentral:tRNA from 1 species